rnacentral:rRNA from 1 species
GUUGGGAAUCUUGCACAAUGGGGGCAACCCUGAUGCAGCGACGCCGCGUGGAGGAUGAAGGAUUUAGGUCUGUAAACUCCUUUUAUCAGGAAAGACUUAGGACGGUACCUGAUGAAUAAGCACCGGCUAACUACGUGCCAGCAGCCGCGGUAAGACGUAGGGUGCAAGCGUUGUCCGGAUUUACUGGGCGUAAAGAGCGCGUAGGCGGUCUGUUAAGUGAGAAGUGAAAUCUCCAGAGCUCAACUCGGAAAUUGCUUUUCAUACUGGCAGACUGGAGGGGUGCAGAGGUAAGUGGAAUUCCUGGUGUAGCGGUGGAAUGCGUUGAUAUCAGGAGGAACACCCAUGGCGAAGGCAGCUUACUGGGCACCAUCUGACGCUGAGGCGCGAAAGCGUGGGUAGCAAACAGGAUUAGAAACCCUUGUAGUCC